rnacentral:rRNA from 1 species
AGGUCAAGCUAACAAGAGCUAACGGUGGAUACCUAGGCACGCAGAGGCGAAGAAGGACGUAGCGACCGACGAAACGCUCCGGGGAGUAGGAAGCAAGCAUUGAGCCGGAGAUCUCCGAAUGAGGAAACUCUAAUAUACGGUUCGUUGAAUACAUAGACGAACGCGAGCGAACCUGGCGAACUGAAACAUCUUAGUAGCCAGAGGAAAAGAAAGCAAAAGCGAUUCCCUAAGUAGCGGCGAGCGAAAGGGGACAAGCCUAAACCAGAUACUACGGUAACUGGGGUAGUGGGACGACCACAAGCGACUGAAGAAAUUAGACGAAGUAGCUGAAAACUACACCAGAGAAGGUAAAAGUCCUGUAGUCGAAAAUGGAAGCAGCGCGGUCGAAUCCCGAGUAGCAAGGGGCACGUGAAAUCCCUUGUGAAUCAGCGAGGACCAUCUCGUAAGGCUAAAUACUACUGCGUGACCGAUAGCGAAACAGUACCGCGAGGGAAAGGUGAAAAGAACCCCGGUAAGGGGAGUGAAAUAGAACAUGAAACCGUUAGCUUACAAGCAGUGGAAGGCUGAUUAAACGGCUGACCGCGUGCCUGUUGAAGAAUGAGCCGGCGACUUGCAGGCUGUGGCAGGUUAAGGUGAAUAAAACCGAAGCCAAAGUGAAAACGAGUCCGAAAAGGGCGAACUCGUCACAGUUUGCAGACCCGAACCCGGGCGAUCUAACCAUGGCCAGGAUGAAGCUUGGGUAAAACCAAGUGGAGGUCCGAACCGACCGAUGUUGAAAAAUCGGCGGAUGAGCUGUGGUUAGGGGUGAAAUGCCAAUCGAGCCCGGAGCUAGCUGGUUCUCCCCGAAAUGCGUUGAGGCGCAGCGGUACCAGCAAAAGCGUGGGGGUAAAGCACUGUUUCGCUGCGGGCGGCGAGAGCUGUACUAAAGCGAGACAAACUAAGAAUACCGCGUGAUAGGGUACCAGUAAGACGGUGGGGGAUAAGCUUCAUCGUCAAGAGGGAAACAGCCCAGACCACCAGCUAAGGUCCCCAAAUGGACGCUAAGUGAGAAAGGAGGUGGGAGUGCUUAGACAACCAGGAGGUUUGCCUAGAAGCAGCAAUCCUUAAAAGAGUGCGUAAUAGCUCACUGGUCAAGCGCUCCUGCGCCGAAAAUGAACGGGGCUAAGCGUCCUACCGAAGCUGUGGAAUUACUAUCGUAAUUGGUAGGGGAGCGUUCUAGAUGGGGUGAAGCACUAGCGGCAAGCAGGUGUGGACUGUCUAGAAGUGAGAAUGUCGGCUUGAGUAGCGAAAACAUUGGUGAGAAUCCAAUGCCCCGAAACCCUAAGGGUUCCUCCGCAAGGCUCGUCCGCGGAGGGUUAGUCAGGGCCUAAGGCGAGGCUGAAAAGCGUAGUCGAUGGACAACGGGUUAACAAUCCCGUACUGUUUGGUUGUUGUGAAGGGGGACGGAGAAGGCUAGACCAGCCGCAUGUUGGUUAGCGGUGCAAGUAUUCGAGGCGUUGAGGAGCGGAGAAAACGUUCCGAGCUGAGGUAUGAGUCCGAGUUCCUACGGGAACGAAGUGGUCGAUGUCAAGCUUCCCAGAAAAGCCCUAACCACGUUAAUAGCCAAAUACCUGUACCCGAAACCGACACAGGUGGGGAGGUAGAGAAUACCGAGGGGCGCGAGAUAACUCUCUCUAAGGAACUCGGCAAAAUAACCCCGUAACUUUGGGAGAAGGGGUGCCACCGCGAGGUGGUCGCAGUGAAGAGGCCCAGGCGACUGUUUACCAAAAACACAGGUCUCCGCGAAGUCGUAAGACGCAGUAUGGGGGCUGACGCCUGCCCAGUGCCGGAAGGUUAAGGAAGUUGGUCAGGGGCUUGCCCUAAAGCUGACGACUGAAGCCCCGGUGAACGGCGGCCGUAACUAUAACGGUCCUAAGGUAGCGAAAUUCCUUGUCGGGUAAGUUCCGACCCGCACGAAAGGCGUAACGAUCUGGGCACUGUCUCGGAGAGAGACUCG